AGAGUUUGAUCCUGGCUCAGAUUGAACGCUGGCGGCAUGCCUUACACAUGCAAGUCGAACGGCAGCACGGGGGCAACCCUGGUGGCGAGUGGCGAACGGGUGAGUAACGCAUCGGAAUGUACCCAGUAGUGGGGGAUAACUAGUCGAAAGACUAGCUAAUACCGCAUACGCACUGAGGUGGAAAGCGGGGGAUCGCAAGACCUCGCGCUAUUGGAGCAGCCGAUGUCCGAUUAGCUAGUUGGUAAGGUAAUGGCUUACCAAGGCAACGAUCAGUAGUUGGUCUGAGAGGACGACCAGCCACACUGGGACUGAGACACGGCCCAGACUCCUACGGGAGGCAGCAGUGGGGAAUUUUGGACAAUGGGCGCAAGCCUGAUCCAGCAAUGCCGCGUGAGUGAAGAAGGCCUUCGGGUUGUAAAGCUCUUUCAGUUGAGAAGAAAAGAUUGUGACUAAUAAUUGCAAUUCAUGACGGUAUCAACAGAAGAAGCACCGGCUAACUACGUGCCAGCAGCCGCGGUAAUA
rnacentral:rRNA from 1 species